GGGGGCGACCUGGUUUCGACGUGGUCGGGGGACCGUUGGCUGCAUGCCGAGAUUCCACGGAUCUCGUUAAACGGUGGAAAACAAACAAGUGACGAAAACAAUUUCGCACUGGCGGCCUAACUAAGCUGCCCGUUCCCGGGACGGGGGGUCACUGGACCGGCCCAAUGGGAGCGACGUUUUCAGUGAAUAGUCCGGCGGGAGGUCCCUGGCCGACGGGCGAAACAAAAGUGGGACUAGCCUGGCGGGGCGCACGUUCCCUGGCCUCCCGACAGGUUAAAUGACAGGGAACUAAGCAUGUAGAUGCCGGCGGGGUACCGGUUACGGACGCGGGUUCGAUUCCCGCCGCCUCCACCA
rnacentral:tmRNA from 1 species